UACAGGGGGGGCAAGCGUUGUUCGGAAUUACUGGGCGUAAAGGGCUCGUAGGUGGCCAACUAAGUCAGACGUGAAAUCCCUCAGCUUAACUGGGGAACUGCGUCUGAUACUGGAUGGCUUGAGUUUGGGAGAGGGAUGCGGAAUUCCAGGUGUAGCGGUGAAAUGCGUAGAUAUCUGGAGGAACACCGGUGGCGAAGGCGGCAUCCUGGGUCGGUAUUGACGCUGAGGAGCGAAAGCCAGGGGAGCAAACGGG
rnacentral:rRNA from 1 species